GCAGAUAACAGAUAAUUGUGCUGAAUCCCCAGCUAGGAACAACAGAUAAUUGUGCUGAAUCCCCAGCUAGAAACAACAGAUAAUUGUGCUGAAUCCCCAGCUAGGACAUCAGGCAGAUAUUUCAAGUUAAGAGCAUGGUGACCUGUAUGGGGAGCCUACACGUGAUCUUCAUCCGUUGAUAGGCGUGUAUUGUCAUGCAUUCAGUUCCGGGAUAGAUUGUAGCAACAAUCAUAUCUUGUAUUGUUUGUAUACUUUGCAUAUUUCUUUGAUGUUUUUCUACCUGACCACAUAAAUUGUCUGUUUUUAUAUGAAUAUUGUAUUUGAACAAAUCAUAUAGGAUAUUGACAUGGUUGAAUUUUUACUUGUUUACUUCAUCAUCAAAUUCAUCAAGCUUCCGAUCAACAUAUGACAUGAAGAAUGAUAUCAAGAUGAUUUUCCUGAUAGUCAGUCUAGUCUUUGAUUGUAACCUUUAUGAAAUAGCCUCUUCUAGGAAUGCAGGGGAACUUAUGUCAGGGACAAGUAGGGUUGAAUGGUUUUAAUGCGUUUGAAAUCUACUGUAUUCCCUGUAAUAAGUGCCCUGACUUACUAAGUGUCCUCUCACUCACUUCCAACUCAUCUAUAAUGGAUUGUUUUACGAGCCCUCUACUACGACUGGCCAUUUACAUGACAGCCUGUAUCUGCAUAUAUAACUGCCUGGUAACUAUGAUCAUAAACGUUUUUGUUACAGUUGAACUUAUUGUUUUCUACCUCUUGAUCUGUGACAACAAAUUUUGUCUCCCUGUUUGUGGAUUAUUACUGUGUAUAUGGCUGUCAGGGUGUAUACUCCCAGAGAGAAUACAUACUUAGAUCACAAAUGCUCAUCUUGUAAUUAACAAAUAAACUUCCACUCACUCACUCACCUAUACAGGGCUAUCCAGCCCAAAGAAGCAAUCAAACUAUGUAACCAGAUCAUUGACAGCUCUCCUGACAUCUUACCAAGGCAAGGGAGUUAACUCUUCUGAAAAAUGUAGUGUCCUUGGACGGAAUUCCGUAGCUCACUUGUAGAGCCACCAUUAGGUAUAAUGAGUUACAUACCUUACACUAGCCAAUCAGAUUCUAUCUGUCAUAUUGCUUGCAUUUACUUCAAUCAAUAACAGGCCUGGUCAAGAUGAUCUUAUGAAUAUUCGAAACAUAUAUUGUCAUGAUAUAGGUCUUACUUUCUAUUUUGUCCCUUGCCUUGGAAAGGUCAUGACUAGCAUCACAGUCCAAGGUCACAAAGAACCCAGCAGUUUCUUGUUCCCGAUCUGUUCAGUAUUCAGUAUUGGCCUGCAUCUUCCCAUCACUGUGUAUAUGUAUAGACCUGUGUAUAACUAUACAUUUGUAUAUACAGCAAUGUGAUUAUUUUGGAGGAAGUGACAAGUGCAAUAUUUUGCGAAAAUAUAUUUGUUUGUCUUAAUUUAUUUUCAUCCAUGUGUGUCAUUUCGAGAACAUCAUAUCUAUAUCUAGAGAUCAUGAUUUAAUUUGAAGACAGACAUAUGUAUGUAAUAAUUUUACCGAUGACUUAAGUGUUGACUGAAGUACUUUCAGAGAGAGAGAGAGAGCGAGCUGUGUAGCAUUCUUCUUGAAUGUGUUUCCUUCAGUAGUUGCCAAUUUGAGUAGUGCUCUCUUAGCAACACUUUCAGUACUAAGUACCAAGCAAUAGAAACAACUGUUAGAUAUGAUAAUCAUUGUUAUCAGUGAUUAUCAGGUGAUAUUUGUCUGUUAUCAGUGAUUACCAGGUGAUAUCAGUCUGUUAUCAGUGAUUACCAGGUACCAGGUGAUAUCAGUCUGUUAUCAGUGAUUACCAGGUUCCAGGUGAUAUCAGUCUGUUAUCAGUGAUUAUCAGGUGAUAUCAGUCCAUUAGUACUGUGUUAUGAGUGAAGAUCAUCUGAUAUCAGCCAAUAUUGUUGUGUUCUGUGUGGUAAUCAUGUGGUUAUCACAUGGAAGCUCAUGUUAUAGCUGUCAGUUAUCACAGUGUUAUCAGAGGAACUGCAACAAGUGAUCCUGCUAUAUUGAUAUUACUUGUGGGAAGAAUUUACUUUAUUCAUAAAUUGAGGGAGGAAUUCACUUUAUUAUGUUGAUUCUUUUUUUUUUUUAUGGUGAGGCAUUACAAUAUGGCAAACAUUCCGUACUUAAGGAGUAUGUGGUUUGUAUUUUCCUGUGAUGUUAUGACAAUGUGUUUAAUUCUAUGGUACCAAUAUGCUUUGUCACGCCUUCAUUGUUUGCAGUCCGACCAGACUAGGAUCCAUAGCAGGCACUCUGCAUCAAGCUGACCUAUGUUGACACCAGUGGCUAAAUAGGCCAUGACAUUUGAGUAGUGAAGUUGUUCCUGCUAUGAAGCUUGGUAGUACAGCUGUAUUCAAGUCACCCACAGUGUGAGAAAACACCUGCAUGGGCAGUGUCAUGUAAUAUUACAUCUUCUAGUGACUAUUUAACAAGAAGGUUCAGGGCAACAAUGUAUUCUGGGCAAUAUUAUUAUUUAAAAUUUAACAAAAUCAGAUAAUAGAUACAUUGUUUCUUGAUAUUAAUAUGCUACAAGUGAGAUGUCUUCAGUCACUUGGUGUCCAUCCAUGUGAGUUGUUAGGAUUAGCAGUCUCCAGAUCAAUUAGUGUCUAAACUAAUAUAGUGUCAUAUUCUUGUGGUGUUAAGUUUAACUGUCCAGAAUGAGGUGUCUAGCUUAACAAGGUUUCCAGAUCUGUGAAGUGUCUGGAUUAACAAGGUUUCCAGAUAUGUGAAGUGUCUGGAUUAACAAGGUUUCCAGAUAUGUGAAAUGUCUGGAUUAACAAGGUUUCAAGAUGUGUUGAUAAACAGAGGUUAGAAUAUUUUCAAACUAAUGUAAUGCAAAAUGUCAUUCUGUUUAAAACAAUUAAAGACAUCCCAAAAGGUUUCCUAUAGACUAUCAUAUAGUAGCUGCUGUUAUUUUCUCCCUGUGUGUCAUGUUUGCUUCCCUCUUGUCAAUAUCCAGACUGCACAGCAUUGACAGCAUGGUGAGUGUAUUCUACACUGAAAUGUGCCAAGGGAGGUGAUAACAUGAUAUAUACCACUGUGGUCCUGUACCAGUACGCUGGAUUCUUUAUUCUAGUACUACAGUGUAGAUAAAUGCUGGGAGGUAUGUACAGACUAUACUGUCUCAUGUAUCUCCUCAUAAUACUAAUGUAUAUAUUUGUUGAUUAUAGCUCAAAUAGUAAAUAAAUGAAAUCAACUUGCA